rnacentral:lncRNA from 1 species
AUUUGAUCACUAAGGUCUGAUUGUAGAUGCCUUGUUGCUGACUCAAGGAGAAUUUUCCAUGCAUUGAUAUUCUCUUCAUCAGGAGGAACACAACCAUUCGUCAAAGGCACAAGACCAUUCAAAGUGUUCAUGAUAGCUCUAUAGGUAUUCUCCAAGGUGUUAUAAAAUUCAGCUUGAAGUCUAGUGAUAUCUCCCUUAU